rnacentral:miRNA from 1 species
AGCAAAAGAGAGAUAUGAAAGAGGGUGGAGGGAGCAUGUGGGAGGGAUGAGGGAGAAAUGAAGAUGGAAAAAAUUUAAAAGUGUUUUUUAAUUUUAAUUUUAUGUAAAUUCCGUACACAUUUCUUCAACAUCAUCUCUCCCACCUCUCUUCCUCUACCCUUCUUCAUCUCUCAUUUUCUCCU